AUACAAUGCUCCCUUCAUGUACAUAAACCAUAUUUUUACUUAAAUACUUUUUGUGUCAGAAAAAAAUACGCAUCACUGUGAUUUUCUUAUUGAAAAGUGUCAUUUUUUUUAAUAAUCAUUCAUUACCGCAGAAAAAAAUGCUAUGCACAAUUUUGGAACUGCUGCAAAACACAAAAAGUGCGGAGCACACAAAAUGCUGGAAAUCGAAAGCUGGUUUUAACCCUGUAUUAUUAACUAGAACGACGAGUGACUGCUUUGGCUAGUCUUUGCCGCAUACAUUAUACAACAAAACCUGUUUUAUUCUUGGAAGCUCGACUUUAGUAAUUCAAACUUAAAAUUACUAGUAUAGUAAAAAUUGUGUCUUAAAAACCUCCAUAAGAAAAAUACUUGCAAUGGACAGUUACACCAGUCGUAAACGAAUCCUAAUUUUAAUUGGAUGUUAUUGUCCUAAAAAAAAAUCCAUAUAUAGAGUAACAUCCAAUCACAAUGAAGAAUUAGUUUAAGACUGCGUGUAAAUGUAGCCACUGCCUAAUUUUAAAUCAAUUCUAAAUCCAUUAUCGUUGUCGUUUCAUGCGGAACACAUAUCCAACCUCCCAUGCAUUUGAUUAUGAUAUUAUCUAUAACUAAUCGAUCUAUGAUUGUUUCUACCGUGGUCUCGUGUGUCGAAUUUUGGCGUCCCAUCACAAAGUACAGACUCAAAGUUGACAUGCUGUAUGCACUUUUGAUUUACUUGGGUUCCUCUUGGGGGAUAAGAGUAGAAUGUGAUAGUCAAUAAAUCAUCGCGUUGCCUUGGAAACGUUAUUCUUGAGCGCACAUGUUGUUAAUCAUUCGAGUACCCGAGGAGGUAGAUGUUGCUGAAGAAGGAAAUAUCGGUACAAUCGAAAAGAAUUCACUGAUCAGUAGGCUUCGCAUAGCACCUGAUCGAGGAAAAGAAUAUACAGUAUUUACUGUUUACAAGCCAAAGCACAUCGACUCGCAGACACCUAAGUGAUUUGAAGAUACAUGACUGUAGGCCUAUAACAAAUUCUUACUUUGUGGUGCGUGUAUGUUCAUUAUUAGUGGUGUGAGAAGCUGUCAAUGUAGGUUCUGGCAAGUGCACCAUAAGGGUGAUAGGCUUAUUCUACUUGUUUGAAAAAUGGGUAAACCACACUUGAAUUUGAAAAUGUACGAUGGACAAAAUGGUGCUUCAACUGAUGCCAACGAAAGCAAAGUUAUAAUAUUUUUUCGGCCUCCUGACGAGAAUAGCACACUGAAAAGUUUGUCGUCAAAAACAUGUGACGCCUGCGUGGUGGUGCUGAGACUGUUGGCUUUUCUAGUCGUUUUUGGCUCUUCCGUGGCCUUAACUUACGUUGGAUUUAAAUUCUUGUUACAAAGUGCCGAUAAUAAUUAAAAAAUGUAGGCCUAUCUGUUUGACGAACUGCAUUCAGUUACUUGUAACAGAUAUCUGCACAACACAUUGAGUGCCCUGAAUUUAGGCCUAUUAUACGUAUGAAGAUGAUUGUGUUGAUAUGUUUCCUGACUUUCAAAGUUUAUAGGCCCGGACUAUUGGUUAUAAUGAGAUAUUGAAGUGCUCUUUAUUUUAUUUAUUUUUUUAAAAUAAAUUAUUACUAUCUGGUGAAGAACUGGAAUUGAAUUGUAAAUAUCCGGAAUACCGCCAGGCUCCAGUGUAUAUAUAUGGAAUAUAUUUCGCCAGACUGAUACAUACACAGCCCUCCCUAUGUCCUCGAUUGACACGCUCCUCCCCCACCCCCAUGACUCCCGUGGUAAAAAUCUGUACCCUUACCUGAAUAAUUGUUAUGUCUGCAUGCUUGACUUAACAUAAAUACGAUUUACAAUUAGAUCGUAGAUGCUCUAUAACGUUUAAUAAGCCUAGUUUUAAUUCUUAUGAACCAAUACUGAAGUCUUCCCAAUAUUUAAUCAAUCCAUUUCGAUAAAGAUUAUUCAUAAAGUUGAGUACCGAUAGUCUCAAUGCCAUGGUUAUCUGAGUUGAUAUCGCGACGCGACACAUGCCUGUACUUUGGGUUGGCUAUUUCGGCUGUGGACGAUGCAUUCUCAAGAAAAAAUGCGUGAUUCCUAACACAUUUUCAGUUGUAAAUACAACCCUAAAGUAGUAAAGAAUGUAUUUCCGGGUAUAGGAGAAACAUUU
rnacentral:lncRNA from 1 species